GCCUAGCCCACUGCACUUGGCUUGCACUACUGGCCUAGAUCCCACACCUGCCAAGGGCAAGCCAAGGGUGGAGCACAGUGAGCAUGUCCAGUCACUGCACAUAGCCAGGUAUGCCAGCUGCUGUCACAGGGCAGACAGCUCCAGGAGCCAGCACAGGCACCGGCUCCAUGAAAGGCUGUAGCUGGAUCAGAUGUACCACAAGCAGCUUCUGCUGCAGGCACCCACAUCUGGACGAGGGGAAUGCAGUGGCACCCAGAAGCUUGGAGAAGCCUGGAACUGCAGAGCCCCAAAGAAGGUGUCACGGCCCUGUCUUAGGGAGCCCCUAGGACUGAGCUUCCCAAAGGCUGCCGCUUUUCUCUCCUUCUCAUCUCUCACAAUGUGAAAAAAAAAUCUGAGGACAAGAAGCCUCUGCAAUGAAAGUGAAAGAGGUCUGCUCUCACCUUUCCAGUGAUCCUGGAUGAGCCUAAUUGCUACAGGAUUCCUUCAGUGCCGCUUCACCUGCUGGAAAUCUCUCUAGCCACCAUGACUUCCAUUUGGGACCUUGCUCAGGCCUGCCAAGCUCACUCCACCCGCUCAGCCCAGCAGGCUGUGCUUGGCUUGCACCCUGGCCCAGAUCCCAUACCUGACCAGGGACUCUGCACUUAGUCUGUGGCUGGACCAAGCAUGCCACAAGUCAUUUCUGUGUUGGGUGCCGGGGUCUAGACAUGGGGAAUGCAGUGGUACUUGAAAACCUGGAGAUGCCAGCAACUGUGGAGCCCCAAGGGGUGUUACAGCUCUCACACAGGGAGUCUCAAGGUCUGAGCACCCAAGAAUGUUUUGGCUUUGUAGUUUGGCAAACCAGCCAAGAGGGAAUGGCGCCCAAUGGCUUCACUUCUUCGUGCCCGCAGUGAGGCGAAUGGGGCCAUGUUACAGCUCUCCUUGAACUUGCUGCCAACAGCUCAGUGAACAGGAGCAUGUGACAGCUCUCUCUGCACCUGCUGCCCACAGCUCAGUGAACAGGAGUGUGUGACAGCUCUCUCCAUACCUGCUGCUCACAGCUCACUGAACGGGAGCGUGUUACAGCCCUCUCCACACUUGCUGUCCACAGCUCAGCAAGUUCUAGGUUCUUGUCCUACGACCUAGAGGAGUAAGGUGUGUGGACACUAGAGAGUGAGUAAGGCAGAGAACAAUUUUAUUGAGUGACAGAAGGAAAGCUCUCAACUGUGAGGGGGACCUUAAAAAUGGUCCCAAUUCUUUGGGAAAUAUUAGUAUUUCCCCAAGUCCCAUUCUUUGGGAAAUACUCAAAUAAAAGAGACAUAGUCCUUGACCUGAAGCAAUUUACAGCCCAAUAAUAAGGAUAAAUAUAGACACAAAUAUAUAAAUCAUCUGAGCUGAUCUGUGCUGUCUGAUGUCAAAUAUGUCAAAUCAGAAAACACUAGCACAUAUGUUUGUAUUUCAUUUUCUCAUGACUUGGAAGCUACCACAAACAUAUAAUUAAAAAAUAAUGGAAAAUUAAUAAAGCAAAACUACUUAUAAAUGAAGAAGUCCUAAUGUCGAAAAAUCAAUGCCUUCCCAUGUUAUCAUUUUAAUUUUGUAAUUUCUUUUUAUGUUAACCAUGAUGACUUUACCAUUCCCUGCUAUCUCAGAUUAUUUAAGAAAUUAGAUGAAUAAGAUCAUUUGUUUCUAAUUGGUGUUCAAAUGCAGGGACUUUAAAAAAUAUAGGUCUUAGGAAAUUUGUCUUUAGUUUAUUUCAACAUUAUAAAACACCAAAUAAUAGAAUUCUGAUGUCACAGUAUGAUUUCAUGGAGCCAGAAACUGACUGCUUACCAUCUAAUAUGAUGAUUUUGCAUUGCAUUAUAAGCAUAGUAUAUGAUUCCUUCUUGAAAUAUGUCUUUGCUAUUAUAUGAAUCCGGUAUGCUGUGUAACAGUCCUACUCACACCUUCAGGGGACAUAGUACUAAGUAUUUACUUUCUAUGCAUCUUUGAGAUUUAGUUGAAAUACCUUAGGGACAUCUUUUCUUUGCUAAUCUCCCUCAAGUUUCUGCAGGUCAGCUAGUCUAUACAUGUAUCUGUACAGUUGGCCUGUACCUUGCCAGAAUAUAAAUAGAGUUUGAAU
rnacentral:lncRNA from 10 species